UACGUAGGGGGCAAGCGUUGUCCGGAAUCAUUGGGCGUAAAGCGCGUGUAGGCGGCCCGGUAAGUCCGCUGUGAAAGCCGGGGGCUCAACCCUCGAAUGCCGGUGGAUACUGUCGGGCUAGAGUGCGGGAGAGGCGAGUGGAAUUCCUGGUGUAGCGGUGAAAUGCGCAGAGAUCAGGAGGAACACCAAUUGCGAAGGCAGCUCGCUGGAACGUAACUGACGCUGAGACGCGAAAGCGUGGGGAGCAAACAGG
rnacentral:rRNA from 1 species